AGAGCGAACGCUGGCGGCAGGCCUAACACAUGCAAGUCGAGCGCCCGUAGCAAUACGGGAGCGGCAGACGGGAUAGUAACACGUGGGAACGCGCCCUUCGGUUCGGAAUAACUCAGGGAAACUUGAGCUAAUACCGGAUACGCCCUUACGGGGAAAGAUUUAUUGCCGAAGGAACGGCCCGCGUCCGAUUAGCUAGUUGGUGAGGUAAUGGCUCACCAAGGCGACGAUCGGUAGCUGGUCUGAGAGGAUGACCAGCAUCACUGGGACUGAGAACGGCCCAGACUCCUACGGGAGGCAGCAGUAGGGAAUUUUCCACAAUGGGCGAAAGCCUGAUGGAGCAACGCCGCGUGCAGGAUGAAUGCCUUCGGGUUGUAAACUGCUUUUAUAUGUGACGAUUAUGACGGUAGCAUAUGAAUAAGGAUCGGCUAACUCCGUGCCAGCAGCCGC
rnacentral:rRNA from 1 species